CUACGGGGUGCAGCAGUGAGGAAUCUUGCGCAAUGGGGGAAACCCUGACGCAGCCACGCCGCGUGGGUGAAGAAGGCCUUCGGGUCGUAAAGCCCUGUCAAGAGGGAAGAACCGCCAGGGGGUUAAUAGCUCCUUGGCCUGACGGUACCUCUAAAGGAAGCACCGGCUAACUCCGUGCCAGCGAGCCGCGGUAAUACGGAGGGUGCAAGCGUUGUUCGGAAUUACUGGGCGUAAAGGGUGUGUAGGCGGCCAGAUCAGUCGGAUGUGAAAUCCCUUGGCUCAACUGAGGACCUGCAUCCGAUACUGUCUGGCUUGAGUCCUGGAGAGGGGGGUGGAAUUCCCGGUGUAGAGGUGAAAUUCGUAGAUAUCGGGAGGAACACCAGUGGCGAAGGCGACCCCCUGGACAGUGACUGACGCUGAGACACGAAAGCGUGGGUAGCAAACAGGAUUAGAUACCCCUGUAGUC
rnacentral:rRNA from 1 species